rnacentral:ncRNA from 1 species
CUUAUCAAGAGCGGCUGAGGAACAGGUCCUGUGAAGCCCGGCAACCUAGCGCUGUAUGCGCUGAUGGUGCCAAGUCCUGCGGUAUUACCGAGAGAUGAGG